AAAAAAGACAUACUCUGGUUUUCGUGUCCAACAUUUGACCGUCCGUUUUAUUUGAAAAAGUUAUGAACAAAAUUAAAAAGAUAAGUCACGCAUAAAGUAUUAAUCAUGUUUUAUCAUCUAACAACAAUGAAAAUACUAAUUAUAAAAAAAUUUCAUAUAAGACGGACAGUCAAACGUUGGCACGGGAACCCACGGUUUGCCUUUUU
rnacentral:pre_miRNA from 1 species